rnacentral:rRNA from 1 species
AUUACCGAGUUUACAACUCCCAAACCCCAAUGUGAACGUUACCAAUCUGUUGCCUCGGCGGGAUUCUCUUGCCCCGGGCGCGUCGCAGCCCCGGAUCCCAUGGCGCCCGCCGGAGGACCAACUCCAAACUCUUUUUUUCUCUCCGUCGCGGCUCCCGUCGCGGCUCUGUUUUAUUUUUGCUCUGAGCCUUUCUCGGCGACCCUAGCGGGCGUCUCGAAAAUGAAUCAAAACUUUCAACAACGGAUCUCUUGGUUCUGGCAUCGAUGAAGAACGCAGCGAAAUGCGAUAAGUAAUGUGAAUUGCAGAAUUCAGUGAAUCAUCGAAUCUUUGAACGCACAUUGCGCCCGCCAGUAUUCUGGCGGGCAUGCCUGUCCGAGCGUCAUUUCAACCCUCGAACCCCUCCGGGGGGUCGCGUUGGGGGAUCGGCCCCUCACCGGGCCGCCCCCGAAAUACAGUGGCGGUCUCGCCGCAGCCUCUCCUGCGCAGUAGUUUGCACACUCGCACCGGGAGCGCGGCGCGGCCACAGCCGUAAAACACCCCAAACUUCUGAAAUGUUGACCUCGGAUCAGGUAGGAAUACCCGCUGAACUUAAGCAUAUCAAUAA